AGCAGCUGACACCCUCGACUCCCCCGCCUUUGCCACCAUCACCCUCUCCUGGACCAUGGCCGGAUGAGCUCCAGAUAUGGGCCCCAUGGAGGCUCCACUGCACCGGCCUAGAGGCAGGGGGAUGGACACCAUGACCUUUUCAGGCCUGGGCUGCUUCUGAAUUGUGGUGACAUGGAAGAGUGAGGAGCUGGGGGUAAAGGGUUCUGCGCAUGCUCAAAGGCUUUCCAUGAAGACCGAAAGUCCUGACGCUGUGGACUUGGGCUCUGUUUCUCCAGCAUCCUCAGCCCCUCGGCGGAAGCCCCCUACUCCAUUCUGUUACAUGUCCAUGCUUUAUGUCCAGCCAGACCCUGGCCUUCCUCCAACCACGUGGCUCCAAGUCUGGCACCCCACAGGAAUGACUAGCCCUAGCUGAAGGCACACCAAACCUACCCCAGCCUCUGCUGGUCACAGCUGCUCCCACAACUGGGCCAAAGGUGGCAGGGUUGUGACCUGCUCCUGUAACUCCCUGUUCCACCCUCUUUUUCUGUCCUGGGUCUCUGGUCACUCAUAUCCCUGUCCUAGGGGCCAGGCCCUGGGAGGGGAGACAUUGCGUGGUUAUGCUCCUCAAGGCAGAGGUGUUCCUGAAUCCCUUUCCAUUCCUGAUGAAGAAUCAGGUCCCCCACCCUGUGCUUGGGCUCCCUGGCCUAAGGGAUGCUCACCCCUUCCUGUAGGGAAACAGCAUAGUAUAGGUAUAUCCCCACACUGGGUUCAAGUCCUCCUCCUGCCACUUCCCAACUGCGUGGCCUUGGCCACCUCUGUGCCACAGUUUCCCCAUCUGUAGUGUUAGUCGCUCAGUUGUAUCCGACUCUUUUCAACCCCAUGGACUGUAGUCUGCCAGGCUCCUCCGUCUAUGGAAUUCUCCAUGGACAAUUCUCCAGCAAGAAUACUAGAGUGGGUAGCCAUGGCCUUCUACAGGGUAUCUUCCCAACCCAAGGAUUGCUCUUCUCACAUUGAAGGCAGAUUCAAGGAUAAAAUAGGAUCUUACAGGGAUUAAAUGAGUCAAUGU
ensembl:lncRNA